GUCAUUUGGGGAAGGACAAGAAGAAGAGUCAGCACCACACCUCUGCCCUGCCCUUCAGUCACCAUGUCGUCCAUCCUCCUGGACCUUCUAGAUCCUUCCUUCCAACUCCACUUGUUCACCCUGUCAGAGAAGACCUCAGUCUAUUCAAUAUUCUUUUCUCCUGGAAACCAGACAUCACCUGCUUCCUUGUAGGUCUCUGAGAUCCAUCAAUUUCAUAGCGUUUGAAAAUUCUUAUUACCUUUGGAAUUUUUAUUUCUCCGGGAUUAUUACUUUCAGGAUCUCUUCUCUUUGAAAUUUCUACUCUUCCAUAUAAUAUGUUCUUGCCUUGAUCAAUUCAGCAAAAAAGUGAAAUUUCUCUUAUGCUUAUUUACCUAUGCUAAUUUUAAAUAAAAAUUUUCCAAUUUUAUUUUAUUCUCUUCAUCUAGAGGGUUUAGCCAAAAAAACCCAAAUUGAUACAUUAUUAUUACAACCUUAUAAAACUUAAGUAUAAAAACUGAAAUAACCCUCAAGAGACAUUUUUGUAUGUUUUUAGUAUUUUUGUUUGUAAAAUUAGUGUAAGUUAAACUUUAAGAGAAAUUUUGGGAACAUGUCUAUACACACAGUGUGAGGAUGGCCUUAGCUUAAGCAACUCCAUUUUAAAACUCUUUGUUAAAAUAAAAUUGGAGUCCCUACCAGACAAGUUUACAGAGCCCUCUAAUAUUGUCAUGAGGCAUGGCCUGAAAAAAUAAGUCACUUCCCACAACCCUGAUAAAACUCAGAGUGAAGUCACUGUUAUUUGCCUUUGUCUGAUAAGGGUCACAGAUGAGAGAUCAGGGCAGAAACCACCAGACCAGAUGUCCUGACCCCAGAGUGAAAGACAUCACUAAGAGACCCAGUCAUAUGUGAUUAGGACUGAAAGAGCAAGCAGAAACCCCAAAAUUUAAUAUAAAUGAUGUAGCAAAUGAAGAGACAUUCCAUCAAGCCACACUGAUGCCCCAUCCUGGAGAGCCUGAUGAGGACACGUGGACUGACAUCCCAACUUUUUUCAUUAUCUACCUGAUCUUCUGUAUCCUCCUCACCAUUCUCCAACUCCACAGCCACAUCUUGAUCCUGAUGAGAAUAAGGACUUCUCCUUAUCACUAUGUCCUCAACCACUCAUCAGCUCCAUGCCAUGAUGAAGCCUCCAUGGAUUCCUGACCUGAUCACUAUAGUCUGAAGGAUCCUCAUACUCUGAGCCACCUCAUGAUCAAACUGGUACCCAUAAAGGAAAUUAAUGCUUCACCUCUGAGGAAGGACAUCAGUUACCACUAGAUGUGACAGCAUGAUGUGGUACUACUGCUUGGGCCUCUACAGGAUCCUCAGUGCUCUCAACAUCUACUGCCUCAUUCGGACUUUCUGAGAGCUGCAACUUCUCCCUCUCCUCAACUGAUCAUCCACUUCAAGCCAGAAGAAGCCUGCCUUGGUUCCGGACCUGGUCACCGGAGUCUGAGUUAGUGUGAAUCUGCUGGACAUAAAGCCUAAGGCUUAAGACUUUUGAACUUAGCAUGCAGAGGGAAUGUCUGUCAUUAGCCUAUCCUGAUUAAGCCUGUUUUGCAGUGCUUAUAAUUAAUCUAGAAUUGUUUUCUGUGAAUUGAUUAUGUCUAUUGCAGUGCCUAGCAUUAAGGAUUGUCAUUUUCUUGAUUCAGAACCUAUAGAGUGAAACUGUAUUGAGUAGUUUGAGUGAA